rnacentral:rRNA from 1 species
CUAAUCUGCCCAAUGAUAAAAAUUAAAUGGCCGCGGUAAAUUGACCGUGCAAAGGUAGCAUAAUAAAUAGUCUUUUAAUUGGAGGCUUGAAUGAAUGAUUGAAUGAAAAAUUGACUUAAUUAAUAUUAAUAAUUGAAAUUGAUUUUUAAGUAAAAAAGCUUAAAUAUAUGAGUGGGACGAGAAGACCCUAUAGAAUUUUAAAAAUUUUCUUGAGUUUAUUUAUAUAGUUAAUUAAUUUUUUUUUUUAUUUAAGUAAUUUUUUUGUUGGGGUGAUAUUAAAAUAUAAUUAACUUUUAAUAAAAUUUUCAUAAAUGUAUGUAAUUAUUGAUCCAAAAUUUUGAUUAUAAGAAUAAAUUACCUUAGGGAUAACAGCGUAAUUAAUUUGGAGAGUUCAUAUCGAUAAAUAAGAUUACGACCUCGAUGUUGGAUUAAGAAUAGGAAUUGGAGCAAAAUUUAUUAUUUCUGGGUC